rnacentral:rRNA from 1 species
AUUGAACGCUGGCGGCAGGCUUAACACAUGCAAGUCGAGCGGAGAUGAGGUGCUUGCACCUUAUCUUAGCGGCGGACGGGUGAGUAAUGCUUAGGAAUCUGCCUAUUAGUGGGGGACAACAUUCCGAAAGGAAUGCUAAUACCGCAUACGCCCUACGGGGGAAAGCAGGGGAUCUUCGGACCUUGCGCUAAUAGAUGAGCCUAAGUCGGAUUAGCUAGUUGGUGGGGUAAAGGCCUACCAAGGCGACGAUCUGUAGCGGGUCUGAGAGGGUGAUCCACCACACUGGGACUGAGACACGGCCCAGACUCCUACGGGAGGCAGCAGUGGGGAAUAUUGGACAAUGGGCGGAAGCCUGAUCCAGCCAUGCCGCGUGUGUGAAGAAGGCCUUUUGGUUGUAAAGCACUUUAAGCGAGGAGGAGGCUACCUGGAUUAAUACUCUAGGAUAGUGGACGUUACUCGCAGAAUAAGCACCGGCUAACUCUGUGCCAGCCGCCGCGGUAACAC